rnacentral:tRNA from 1 species
UCCCUGGAGGUCUAGUGGCUAAGACUCUGAGCUCCCAAUGCAAGGGGCCGAGGUUCAAUUUCUGGUCAGGGAA